UCCCAGUUUGCGGCCGGGUGCCCCCACCCCGGGGCGCAGCGGCUCUCGAAGCAAAGCUUUAUUCGGGCUGUAUUAAAAAAUAAUAAUACCCGCUUUGGGAACGGCCCCGGCCCUGGGGAGACGGGUGCUGGGGCGCCCUGGGAUCCGUCAGGGAACCCCCGGGAUCCAGGGCAUCUGGGCACUCCGGGAUCAGGGCACUGGGGCACCCCAGGGAUUGGGACACCCCGGGAUCGGGGACACCCACGGAUCAUGGUACCUGGGCACCCAAGGAUCGGGUCAUCCUGGGGUGGGGGCACCCUGGGAUCAGGGACACCCAAGGAUCAGGGCAGCCCGGGAUCGAGGCACCUGAGCACCCAGGGAUCAGGGCACCCAGGGAUUGGGGUACCUGAUCACUCGGGGAUCGGGACACCCAAGGUUUGGGGCAUGCAGGCAUCGGGGUACCUGGUCACCCAGGGAUCGGGGCAUCUGGGUGCCCAGGGAUUGGAGCACCUAGGCAUUGGGAUACCUGAUCACCCAGGGAUUGGGGCACCCAGGGAUUGGGGCAUCCAGGGAUCAGGAUACCUGAUUGCCCAGGGAUCAGGGCACCUGGGGAUCGGGAUACCUGAUCGCCCAGGGAUCAGGGCACCUGGGGAUCAGGGUGCCCAGGGAUCGGGAUACCUAAUCACUCAGGGAUCAGGGCACCCAGGCAUUGGGAUACCUGAUCACCCAGGGAUCGGGGCACCCAGGGAUCGGGGCACCCAGGCAUCAGGUCAUCGGAGCACCCAGGGAUCAGGAUACCUGCUCACCCAGGGAUCGGGGCACCCAGGGAUUGGGGCACUCAGGCAUUGGGAUACCUGAUCACCCAGGGAUCGGGGCACCCAGGGAUGGGGAUACCUGGGCAUCCAGGGUUUGGAGCACCCAAGCAUCGGGAUACCUGAUCACCCAGGGAUGGGGAUACCUGGGCACCCAGGGAUGAGAGCACCCAGGGACGGGGACACCUGAGCACCGGGGGGGGGUCAGAGUCCCGCGGGGAUGGGGGGCGCCGGGGGAGGAGGAGGAAGGAGGACGAGGAAGAUGAGGAGGAGGAAGGAGGAGGAAGGAGGACGAGGAAGAUGAGGAGGAGGAAGGAGGAGGAAGGAGGAUGAGGAAGAUGAGGAGGAGGAAGGAGGAGGAAGGAGGACGAGGAAGAUGAGGAGGAGGAAGGAGGAGGAAGGAGGAGGAGGAAGAUGAGGAGGAGGAGGAGGGAGGAGGAAGGGGGCGGCGCUAGGCGCUGUGCUUCUGGCGCUUCCAGAAGCGCUUGACGUCGGGGUGGCCGCCGGGCGUCACCACCAUGAGGCGCCGCCCGGGGUUCUCGAACACCAGCACGCCCAGCGCCCGCGCGUGGUCCCGCAGCACCUCGAAGUCCACCUGCGACAGGAACUGGUUGUACAGCACCCCUGCGGGGGGGGGACGGGGACGGCGGGGGCGUCACCGGCGGCGCCACCUCCUCCUCGGGGACGUCACCUCCCCCUGAGGGACCCCGGGGUGUCACCUUCCCCCUCGGGGACACCAGGGGUAUCACCUUUCCCUCGGGGACAUCACCUUCCUCUGAGGGACCCUGGGGUGCCACCUCACCCUUGGGGACACUGGGGGUGUCACCUGUUCCUUGAGGACCCUGGGGUGUCACCUCUUCCUCGGGGACUCCUGGGGUGUCACCUUCCCCCUCGGGGAUGUCGCCUCUCUCUGAGGGACCCUGGGGUGCCACCUCCUCCUCGGGGACACCAGGGGUAUCACCUUUCCCUCGGGGACAUCACCUUCCUCUGAGGGACCCUGGGGUGUCACCUCACCCUUGGGGACACUGGGGGUGUCACCUGUUCCU
rnacentral:lncRNA from 1 species